rnacentral:rRNA from 1 species
GAUGAACGCUAGCUACAGGCUUAACACAUGCAAGUCGAGGGGCAGCAUGGUCUUAGCUUGCUAAGGCCGAUGGCGACCGGCGCACGGGUGAGUAACACGUAUCCAACCUGCCGUCUACUCUUGGACAGCCUUCUGAAAGGAAGAUUAAUACAAGAUGGCAUCAUGAGUCCGCAUGUUCACAUGAUUAAAGGUAUUCCGGUAGACGAUGGGGAUGCGUUCCAUUAGAUAGUAGGCGGGGUAACGGCCCACCUAGUCUUCGAUGGAUAGGGGUUCUGAGAGGAAGGUCCCCCACAUUGGAACUGAGACACGGUCCAAACUCCUACGGGAGGCAGCAGUGAGGAAUAUUGGUCAAUGGGCGAGAGCCUGAACCAGCCAAGUAGCGUGAAGGAUGACUGCCCUAUGGGUUGUAAACUUCUUUUAUAAAGGAAUAAAGUCGGGUAUGGAUACCCGUUUGCAUGCACUUUAUGAAUAAGGAUCGGCUAACUCCGUGCCAGCAGCCGCGGUAAUACGGAGGAUCCGAGCGUUAUCCGGAUUUAUUGGGUUUAAAGGGAGCGUAGAUGGAUGUUUAAGUCAGUUGUGAAAGUUUGCGGCUCAACCGUAAAAUUGCAGUUGAUACUGGAUAUCUUGAGUGCAGUUGAGGCAGGCGGAAUUCGUGGUGUAGCGGUGAAAUGCUUAGAUAUCACGAAGAACUCCGAUUGCGAAGGCAGCCUGCUAAGCUGCAACUGACAUUGAGGCUCGAAAGUGUGGGUAUCAAACAGGAUUAGAUACCCUGGUAGUCCACACGGUAAACGAUGAAUACUCGCUGUUUGCGAUAUACUGCAAGCGGCCAAGCGAAAGCGUUAAGUAUUCCACCUGGGGAGUACGCCGGCAACGGUGAAACUCAAAGGAAUUGACGGGGGCCCGCACAAGCGGAGGAACAUGUGGUUUAAUUCGAUGAUACGCGAGGAACCUUACCCGGGCUUAAAUUGCAGAUGAAUUACGGUGAAAGCCGUAAGCCGCAAGGCAUCUGUGAAGGUGCUGCAUGGUUGUCGUCAGCUCGUGCCGUGAGGUGUCGGCUUAAGUGCCAUAACGAGCGCAACCCUUGUUGUCAGUUACUAACAGGUUCCGCUGAGGACUCUGACAAGACUGCCAUCGUAAGAUGUGAGGAAGGUGGGGAUGACGUCAAAUCAGCACGGCCCUUACGUCCGGGGCUACACACGUGUUACAAUGGGGGGUACAGAGGGCCGCUACCACGCGAGUGGAUGCCAAUCCCCAAAACCUCUCUCAGUUCGGACUGGAGUCUGCAACCCGACUCCACGAAGCUGGAUUCGCUAGUAAUCGCGCAUCAGCCACGGCGCGGUGAAUACGUUCCCGGGCCU